UUGUGGAGGAGGACGCCGAAGGUGGGGCUGAUGACUGGGGUGAAGUCGUAACAAGGUAGCCGUACCGGAAGGUGCGGCUGGAUCACCUCCUAACAGGGAGACAAAUAAAUAGAUUGUGAUGUCUGAGUAGAUUUAUUCUCAGACCAUAAUCCUGUCACCUUAGGUCGAUCGGUACCUCUAAUUAAUAUCAGCUUCUCAAUGGAGUUUCUGUUGAGUAUUUGAAUUUGAUUUCAGUUCCUAAACUUGUCUAGGUCACACCCAAACAAUGGUACUCCUGGGCCAUUAGCUCAGGUGGUUAGAGCGCACCCCUGAUAAGGGUGAGGUCCCUGGUUCAAGUCCAGGAUGGCCCAUUCGAUUUUGGGGGUAUAGCUCAGUUGGUAGAGCGCCUGCUUUGCAAGCAGGAUGUCAGCGGUUCGAGUCCGCUUACCUCCACUGAUCGAAGACCUCCUGAAAAGAAGCCCAGGAGAUUUCUGUAUGUGUGAUUUAGACUUUAGUUAUAUCUGAAUGAUCCUAGCUUCCUGUCAUCCCUCAGCCUAAAUAAAUAAUAGGCUAGGUUGAUAAGACGCUGGGCUCACUACAUUUCUAAGGAUUUUGUAGAUGAAGUUCAGUAGAACCUUGACAACUGCAUAGGUGAGUCUGGAAAAGAAUAAAGCAUCUCAUAGAUGCAUAAUUCUUUUUAAUCAUUAAUAGGAUUAUCCUUAUGUGAUAUGUCUUAUUUUGAUUUGAAAGAAUAAUGUUCAAUUCUUAAAAUUAAGAUCUGAACUCUGUAGUGCUUUACUGCAGAGGAUAAUGGUCAAGCUACAA
rnacentral:misc_RNA from 1 species